rnacentral:rRNA from 1 species
CUACGGGAGGCUCCAGUAAGGAAUAUUGCGCAAUGGAGGCAACUCUGACGCAGCCAUGCCGCGUGCAGGAAGAAGGCCUUAUGGGUCGUAAACUGCUUUUAUUUAGGAAUAAACCCCCGAACGUGUUCGGGGCUGAAGGUACUAAAUGAAUAAGCACCGGCUAACUCCGUGCCAGCAGCCGCGGUAAUACGGAGGGUGCAAGCGUUAUCCGGAUUUAUUGGGUUUAAAGGGUGCGCAGGCGGGCUAUUAAGUCAGUGGUGAAAUCCCGGGGCUCAACUCCGGAACUGCCAUUGAUACUGAUAGUCUUGAGUUUGGUUGAAGUGGGCGGAAUGUAGCAUGUAGCGGUGAAAUGCAUAGAUAUGCUACAGAACACCAAUCGCGAAGGCAGCUCACUAAGCCAAAACUGACGCUCAUGCACGAAAGCGUGGGGAUCAAACAGGAUUAGAUACCCUAGUAGUC